GAUGAACGCUAGCGGGAGGCCUAACACAUGCAAGCCGAGCGGUAUUUGUUCUUCGGAACAGAGAGAGCGGCGCACGGGUGCGGAACACGUGUGCAACCUGCCUUUAUCUGGGGUAUAGCCUUUCGAAAGGAAGAUUAAUACCCCAUAAUAUAUUGAGUGGCAUCACUUGAUAUUGAAAACUCCGGUGGAUAGAGAUGGGCACGCGCAAGAUUAGAUAGUUGGUGAGGUAACGGCUCACCAAGUCAAUGAUCUUUAGGGGGCCUGAGAGGGUGAUCCCCCACACUGGUACUGAGACACGGACCAGACUCCUACGGGAGGCAGCAGUGAGGAAUAUUGGACAAUGGGUUAGCGCCUGAUCCAGCCAUCCCGCGUGAAGGACGACGGCCCUAUGGGUUGUAAACUUCUUUUGUAUAGGGAUAAACCUACUCUCGUGAGAGUAGCUGAAGGUACUAUACGAAUAAGCACCGGCUAACUCCGUG
rnacentral:rRNA from 1 species